GACGAACGCUGGCGGCGUGCCUAACACAUGCAAGUCGAACGGGGGUAAAUUGCUUCGGUGAUUUACUUAGUGGCGAACGGGUGAGUAACGCGUGAGAAACCUGCCUCUCAGUGGGGGACAACAGUUGGAAACGACUGCUAAUACCGCAUAAUGUUUCGGAAGGGCAUCCUUCUGAAACCAAAGCUUUAUGUGCUGAGAGAUGGUCUCGCGUCUGAUUAGCUAGAUGGCGGGGUAACGGCCCACCAUGGCGACGAUCAGUAGCCGGUCUGAGAGGAUGAACGGCCACAUUGGGACUGAGAUACGGCCCAGACUCCUACGGGAGGCAGCAGUGGGGAAUAUUGGGCAAUGGGGGAAACCCUGACCAGCAACGCCGCGUGAAGGAAGAAGGCCUC
rnacentral:rRNA from 1 species